rfam:Gossypium hirsutum cultivar TM-1 chromosome 24, whole genome shotgun sequence
AACCCGUGAUGAGGUCACCUUCUCAAAAGAUAUUUAAAUCUCUCCCAUGCAUCAUAUAAUGUCCCUAUAUCAAAUUGAACAAAGGAAAAGAUGUCGUUUCUCAACUU